GACGAACGCUGGCGGCGUGCUUAACACAUGCAAGUCGAACGAUGAAGCCCCGCUUGCUGGGGGGGGUAGUGGCGAACGGGUGAGUAACACGUAAGUAACCUGCCCUCCACUCUGGGAUAACUCCUGAAAACCGGUGAUAAUAGCUGAUAUGGCUGCUGCCUGCUCGGGUGGUGGUGGGGUGAUUCAUCGGUGGUGGAUGGGCUCGCGGCGUAUCAGCGUGUUGGUGGGGUAUUGGCGUACGCAGGCGAUGCCGGGGAGCCGGCCUGAGUGGGUGACCGGCCCCGCUGGGACUGAGACACGGGGCAGACUCCGGCGGGAGGCAGCAGUGGGGAAUAUUGCACUAUGGGCGCAAGCCUGAUGCAGCGGCGCCGCGUGCGUGAUGACGGUCUUCGGGUUGUAAACCGCUUUCAGCUCUGACGAAGCAUUUGUGACGGUAGCAGCAGAAGAAGCACCGGCUAACUACGUG
rnacentral:rRNA from 1 species